rnacentral:rRNA from 1 species
UACGUAGGGAGCAAGCGUUGUCCGGAAUCAUUGGGCGUAAAGCGCGCGUAGGCGGCUGAGUAAGUCGAUUGUGAAAUCCCCGGGCUCAACCUGGGAAUUGCAGUCGAGACUGUUCGGCUAGAGUGUGGGAGAGGGUGGUGGAAUUCCCGGUGUAGCGGUGAAAUGCGUAGAUAUCGGGAGGAACAUCAGUGGCGAAGGCGACCACCUGGCCCAACACUGACGCUGAGGUGCGAAAGCGUGGGUAGCAAACAGG